AGCAGCCGCGGUAAUUCCAGCUCCAAUAGCGUAUAUUAAAGUUGUUGCAGUUAAAAGCUCGUAGUUGAAUUUCGGGAUCAAUUAAUUGGUCGUGCCUCUGGUACGUACUGAUUUUAUUGGUUUCUCCCUUCUGACGAACCAUGAUGUCAUUAAUUUGGUGUCGUGGAGAAUCAGGACUGUUACUUUGAAAAAUUAGAGUGUUUAAAGCAAGCUAACGCUUGAAUACAUUAGCAUGGAAUAAUGAAAUAGGACGUUUGAUCCUAUUUUGUUGGUUUCUAGGAUCGACGUAAUGAUUAAUAGGGAUAGUUGGGGGCAUUAGUAUUCAAUUGUCAGAGGUGAAAUUCUUGGAUUUAUUGAAGACUAACUACUGCGAAAGCAUUUGCCAAGGAUGUUUUCAUUAAUCAAGAACGAAAGUUAGGGGAUCGAAGACGAUCAGAUACCGUCGUAGUCUU
rnacentral:misc_RNA from 1 species